rnacentral:rRNA from 1 species
UACGAAGGGGGCUAGCGUUGUUCGGAAUUACUGGGCGUAAAGGGCGCGUAGGCGGCGUGUCAAGUCAGGCGUGAAAGCCCCGGGCUCAACCUGGGAACCGCGCUUGAGACUGGCAUGCUCGAGUUCGGGAGAGGAUGGUGGAAUUCCCAGUGUAGAGGUGAAAUUCGUAGAUAUUGGGAAGAACACCGAUGGCGAAGGCAGCCAUCUGGACCGACACUGACGCCGAGGCGCGAAAGCGUGGGGAUCAAACAGG